rnacentral:rRNA from 1 species
UACGUAGGGGGCAAGCGUUGUCCGGAUUUAUUGGGCGUAAAGAGCGUGUAGGCGGCCAGGUAGGUCCGCUGUGAAAACUCGAGGCUCAACCUCGAGAUGUCGGCGGAAACCAUCUGGCUAGAGUCCGGAAGAGGAGAGUGGAAUUCCUGGUGUAGCGGUGAAAUGCGCAGAUAUCAGGAAGAACACCAAUGGCGAAGGCAGCUCUCUGGGACGGUACUGACGCUGAGACGCGAAAGCGUGGGGAGCGAACAGG